CACAAAUGAACAAAAGGAAAAAAAAGAGACAAACCAAGAAAGAGACUCUUAACUAUAGAGAACUGAGGGUUACCAGAAAAGAGAUGGGUAGAGAGAAGGAUUAAAUAGGUGAUGGGGAUUAAAGAGUACACUUGUGAUGAAUGGAAUUCACACCAGGUGAUGCAUGGAAUUGUUGACUCAGUAUAUUGUACACCUGAAACUAAUAUAACACUGUAUGUUAACUAUACUAGAAUUAAAAUUAAAUUAAAAAAUGCAAGAAAAUUCU